GUCCUCCUCCGCCUUGUGAGUGCACCGUUGGCCCACAACCACCUUCGAUGAAGCACGCCUUAGCCUUUCCUCACACACACACACACGCACACACCGGUGCCUGUCCAUCAUUCUCCAGCAGAGCAUUGUAGAGCACACGCGCACAAGCCGGGAAGGCAUACAAGCACAUCGCACAAGAGCAGUCCGCACAACUCACUGUCACAUAUCUCGCACGGAAAGCCCCUUGCCGAGCCAUCGAAAAGAAGACGAGUAUAAGAGCAGAAGAAAAUGGUUGUGGCGGCUGUGUUUACCAUCAAGCUGCGCGACGGCGAGGCGGAGCAGCAGUUCCUCGACGCCUUCGCCCCGCUGCAGCAGCACUCCGUUCGUAAUGAGCCCGGUACUCUCACCUAUGAGCUGCAUCAGGUCUUUGAGAAUGGCCAGCCGGUGCCGCUACAGUACCUCGUACUGGAGCGCUACAGCAGCAUGCGCGACUUCGAAGAGAUUCACCUGAAGAGCGCGCCCCUCCAGAACCUCUUUAAAGUCGUAGCCGGGAUCGCCGUUGAGGAGCAGAAGCUAACUGUGUACAGCAACGUUGCAUCGCAGCCGGCAAUGGACAGCAGGCCACAGGUGUGGUCUGACAAGGACACGGAAGACCCGCUGCUGCAGAAGGGUGUGCUGGUUUUUGCCGGUGCGCGUAGCGGCAGCAAGCCCGCGUACACGCAGGAGGCCAAGGCUCUCGCCAAGUACAUCGUCGAAGAAGCGAAGCAGCCUGUUGUCUACGGCGGUGGCACGGUCGGUGUUAUGGGUGAGUUGGCGAAGGAGGCGCACGCACUGAAUGGCAAGAUCAUCUCCAUCAUCCCCAACGCCCUGUCGGAGAGCGAAGUAUCAGGGCCGAUGAUUGGCGACCGCAUCUACACAACAGCCACCAUGUCGGAGCGGAAGAGCAUCAUGUUUGCUCACGCCAACACGGUGGUCGCACUGCCAGGCGGCGUCGGCACCUUUGAUGAGCUGCUGGAGGUGAUCACGCUGUUCCAGCUCAACGCCUAUCGGCCCAAGAUUGGCAUUGUGAAUGUCGAAGGGUUCUUCGACCCUUUCGUUGCGCUGCUGAGGCACCUAAUGGCCGAAGGCUUCCUGGAGGAGAAGGUCUUCGACUUCCUGGUGAUCGCGCCAACCGCGAUUGAGGUUAUGGAAACGCUCAAGUCCUUUGUGCCGCCGCCGAGUCCGGCUUCCACACUGAUCUGGACAAGUCGACCGUAGGUGCCGAGGGCCGCAACGGUUCGCUCUUGCCAGAGUGUGGGGUGUGAAAGGGCAUCGUUUUGUUGUGGGGUGCUGAGACGCGGCCAUGCGGUAACGGCCGUCUUCGUGAGGAGGGUGCGCUUUAUCCUGCCUUCCUUCUGCACCCUACCCCCCUCCCCUUUAUUCUCAACGGGCGCGUGCGUUUGGCCCCCCCCGCAGUUCGCCCGGCUUGUACCCCAACCCCCUCACCGACCCUUCGGCCAGCACUCCACAGUCGGUCCGAUGUUCACCUCUCCGGCACCUCUGUUUCUCCCUCUCUCUCUUGACCGUAUCGUCGCGCACACAAAUGCCGCUACACCGACGGCCGACUUUGUUGCACGGGGAAUUACGUGUGAGCCCUAACGAUUUCACGCGUGCACGGAUGGUUCUGGAUUUGUGUACAUGUGUAUGUGUGUGUGUGUGCCGGUGUCCGAAGGACACUGCUGCCCGCAACC
rnacentral:misc_RNA from 1 species